UCUCCGUAGGUUAACCUGCGGAGGGAUCAUUGCCGAGUGAGGGUUCCGGCCCGACCUCCAACCCUUUGUGAAUUCGACCCAGUUGCCUCGGGGACGACCCGGCCCUCCUGGGCGUCGGGGCCCCCGGUGGUCCAUCUCAACCCUGCAUCUGUGCGUCUGAGUAAAUACUUGAAUCAAUCAAAACUUUCAACAACGGAUCUCUUGGUUCUGGCAUCGAUGAAGAACGCAGC
rnacentral:misc_RNA from 1 species